GAUGAACGCUGGCGGCGUGCCUAAUACAUGCAAGUCGAGCGAACGGACGAGAAGCUUGCUUCUCUGAUGUUAGCGGCGGACGGGUGAGUAACACGUGGAUAACCUACCUAUAAGACUGGGAUAACUUCGGGAAACCGGAGCUAAUACCGGAUAAUAUUUUGAACCGCAUGGUUCAAAAGUGAAAGACGGUCUUGCUGUCGCUUAUAGAUGGAUCCGCGCUGCAUUAGCUAGUUGGUAAGGUAACGGCUUACCAAGGCAACGAUGCAUAGCCGACCUGAGAGGGUAAUGGCCCACACGGAAACUAGACCACGGCCCGAAUCCCUAGGGAGGGAGGCGUAGGGAAAUCUUCCGAAUGGGGCGAAGCCUGACGGAGGCAACGCGGGGGAGGGAUGAAGGGUCUUCGAUUGGAAAAACCCUGUUAUUGGGAAAAAAAAAUUGUGAAGUAACUGUGCACAUCUUGACGGUACCUAAUCAGAAAGCCACGGCUAACUACGUG
rnacentral:rRNA from 1 species